rnacentral:rRNA from 1 species
UUCCUAGCGAGCCCAACCUCCCACCCGUGUUUACUGUACCUUAGUUGCUUCGGCGGGCCCGCCAUUCGUGGCCGCCGGGGGCUCUCAGCCCCGGGCCCGCGCCCGCCGGAGACACCACGAACUCUGUCUGAUCUAGUGAAGUCUGAGUUGAUUGUAUCGCAAUCAGUUAAAACUUUCAACAAUGGAUCUCUUGGUUCCGGCAUCGAUGAAGAACGCAGCGAAAUGCGAUAACUAGUGUGAAUUGCAGAAUUCCGUGAAUCAUCGAGUCUUUGAACGCACAUUGCGCCCCCUGGUAUUCCGGGGGGCAUGCCUGUCCGAGCGUCAUUGCUGCCCAUCAAGCACGGCUUGUGUGUUGGGUCGUCGUCCCCUCUCCGGGGGGGACGGGCCCCAAAGGCAGCGGCGGCACCGCGUCCGAUCCUCGAGCGUAUGGGGCUUUGUCACCCGCUCUGUAGGCCCGGCCGGCGCUUGCCGAACGCAAAUCAAUCUUUUUCCAGGUUGACCUCGGAUCAGGUAGGGAUACCCGCUGAACUUAAGCAUAUCAAUAA